GGGUCAGUAGGUUGGUCGUGCCACCGGUACGUACUGGUCUCACUGAUUCCUCCUUCCUGAAGUACCGUAAUGCCAUUAAUUUGGUGUUGCGGGGAAACAGGACUGUUACUUCGAAAAAAUUAGAGUGUUUAAAGCAAGCUAACGCUUGAAUACAUUAGCAUGGAAUAAUGAAAUAGGACGAUCGAUCCUAUUUUGUUGGUUUCUAGGAUUGACGUA
rnacentral:rRNA from 1 species